ensembl:lncRNA
UCAGACGCAGACCAAAUAUAACACAUAGAACUCAAACAAUAAUAAUCAUCAUCAUCAUCAUAAUAAUAAACUAAAAGCGCUGGGUCACCGACCCAGGACCAUGACAAUUUGUGUUUGUGGCAGUAAUGUGACAAAAUGUGGAAAAGAGGGACGAAUACUUUUGCAAGCCACUGCAAGUACACAGAGAGAUAAUGAGGGGAUGAGGAACAGCUGGGACAAGGGGAAACAAAACUAGACUCACUGCAUAUAGGACAAAGACUUUCCCAAUAAAACAGACAUCACAAGGGUAAUCUAAUAAACAAAUGAACUUAGCAAACCUAAAGAACUUAUAAAUAAACAUCGACAUCUAAACAAACUAAAACUUAAAACGCUGGGUCAACAGACCCAGGAAAGUGACAGUAAAAUCAUUUAUUAUACACAUUAUACUUAUUUUCUUAAAUUGCUUAUCUAUUAUCUGUAUUUUAACUUGGGGGUCUAGGGGUGCUGCAUGUUUAUGAUAACACACUGACAAUAUCAGGACAAUUUUAGCCUUACUCUAUCAGUGAACAGCAUGCCCAUGCUAACUUAAACUAGACCAGCAAGCUAACCCCAUGUGUAUUAAGUGUUACUUCAGAAUAGGAACCAAACAAAUUAACGGAACGAAAUUAACUGUAACAACAGUUUGCAAAACAUUGUGACAGUUCUCAAGUGUUCCUACCUCAAAUCCAGCACGUGUUGCUGUGUUUUUGUUGUUAAAUGGACGAGGAGAGACCGGUGGCUGGUGAGAGGAUGCAGCAUUUCGUCAGUGGAGCAUAGAACGACGUCUCUGAUUGGUCAACAAGUGAGUAAAGAUGCAUCUGAUUGUUCGAAAGCGUCAACCAAAGAGCUGCUGGUCACGGCAAGAUACAAACUCGCCGGAGCUCUGCAUGAACGGCACAUCCGGGACCUUCAGCACUCAGGAGAGAUUUAUCUUGAGGUAUGUAUUUACCUUUGAUAUCCAUGCGUCGACGCAAGCUCCGCGAGGUAAAGUUGUAUGUUUAACAAGCUAAUUAAGGUUAGUUAAACGGAAUUAAAACAAUACACAACCGAUUUGAACAAAUUGAAAGUGGUGAAUGAUGAUAAAUGCUAAAAAAUUACUUAAGAUUUAUCUUUAACAAUAGAUAUUAGAAGUUAAAUUUAACUGUUUUUAAAUUCCCACCGGAGUUAAAGGGACCUGCGGCCUUGCAUGUGCUCUGCAUCUUCAACUGCAGAGACAGUCAGUCUAAGCUCAGUGUAGCUAACUGCAACACACUUUUUUUUUUUCAACACAAGAUAUGCUUGGGGGGAUUUAAAUGAUAAUAUUAAUGUUUUCUUAUUCAGCACAAAUCAAUAAUAUUAUAGUUAUUUGCUCAUGGUCUGGUUCUCUGGCCCAGCGUUUCUGAUGUUAUUCUAAGGUUUUUGAGUUUCUUAUGUUUAAUGGCGGGUUAGUUGAGUUUGGCUUAACGUUAUUAAUAUCGUUUUAAGGAGUUUAUGUUAGGGCUGUAUAUUACCACGUUUGUAUUUUCAUGCCAUGUUUCCUGUUUUAUUUUGAAAGAGUCUGUUGCGUUCAGUUCAUUAAUCUCACUUCCCUGUUGUGUCAAUAGACUCAUUUGUCCAAGCUACUACCCUGCUGUCCCUCUGUCGUGUCUCAACCUCCAACAGGAAAGUAGAAGUCCUCAUAUGACACCAGGUGCCGAGGUCCUGUCUCAACCUCCUUCAGACCAAUUGACACCAAGUGCCGAGGUCCUACCUCAACCUCCUUCAGACCAAUUGGCUCAAGGACCAAGUAUUCUGGGGGUUCCAAGCCACACGCUUUACUCAGCUGCCCUGGACAACAUGAAGGGCACCUCUGGCUCAAUCACCCUGAACAACAAAAACAUUAGCAACACUUCACCAAGAAGGGCUGGGACGGUGAGAAGCAAGUGGACAAAUGAUGAAGUGAAGGUUGCUGAGCGGCACGUUUCACUUCAUAAAAAGCUGCAAAGUACCAGGUAAAAAGGAAUGUGACUGCUGCCUCCAAGCAGAGCCGGCAGCUCUGAAAGACAGAGACUGGGUUGUCAUAAGGUACUACAGCCACAACAGGAUCAUAGCAUUAAAAGAAAGAUGCAAGAAAAAAAGAAACAAGCAAGAGAGAUACUUUGUUACUUCCACAGUUAUGUCAGUAUUGCAGUUUUCUGUAUUGCAUUGUUCUUACUCAUAAAUCUGUGGUUUAUGCUGGGUGCUUUUUGCAAUUAAAUGAUAAAAAAGGCAGAUAA